GAUCAAGAACGCAGCGAAAUGCGAUACGUAAUGUGAAUUGCAAAUUCAGUGAAUCAUCGAGUCUUUGAACGCACAUUGCGCCCCCUGGUAUUCCGGGGGGCAUGCCUGUCCGAGCGUCAUUUCUGCCCUCAAGCACGGCUUGUGUGUUGGGCCCCGUCCUCCGAUUCCGGGGGACGGGCCCGAAAGGCAGCGGCGGCACCGAGUCCGGUCCUCGAGCGUAUGGGGCUUCGUCACCCGCUCUUGUAGGCCCGGCCGGCGCUUGCCGACACAUCAAUCUUUUUUCCAGGUUGACCUCGGAUCAGGUAGGGAUACCCGCUGAACUUAAGCAUAUCAAUAAGCGGAGGA
rnacentral:misc_RNA from 1 species